rnacentral:piRNA from 1 species
ACGUGUGCUACAUACGGGCUGAAUGUGGAGA